rnacentral:rRNA from 1 species
AGCGAACGCUGGCGGCAGGCUUAACACAUGCAAGUCGAGCGGGCAUCCUUGUGGUGUCAGCGGCAGACGGGUGAGUAACGCGUGGGAACGUGCCCUUCGGUUCGGAAUAACUCAGGGAAACUUGAGCUAAUACCGGAUACGUGCGAGAGCAGAAAGGUUUAUCUGCCGAAGGAUCGGCCCGCGUCUGAUUAGCUAGUUGGUGAGGUUACGGCUCACCAAGGCGACGAUCAGUAGCUGGUCUGAGAGGAUGAUCAGCCACACUGGGACUGAGACACGGCCCAGACUCCUACGGGAGGCAGCAGUGGGGAAUAUUGGACGAUGGGGGCAACCCUGAUCCAGCCAUGCCGCGUGAGUGAUGACGGCCUUAGGGUUGUAAAGCUCUUUUCUCCGGGACGAUAAUGACGGUACCGGAGGAAUAAGCCCCGGCUAACUUCGUG